UGAGCAAUCUGCCCUUCUCAUCGGAAUAAGCGUAGGAAACGACGUCUAAUGCCGAAUACGACCUCCUUUCGCAUGAUCGGAGGCGGAAAGCUCCGGCGGAGAAGGAUGAGCUCGCGGCCUAUCAGCUAGUUGGUGUGGGUAAUGGCCCACCAAGGCGACGACGAGUAGCCGGCCUGAGAGGGUGACCGGCCACACGUGGGACUGAGACCACGGCCCAGACUCCGUAGGGA
rnacentral:rRNA from 1 species